rnacentral:lncRNA from 1 species
GGUGGCCAAAGUACUGGAGUUUCAGCUUUAGCAUCAUUCCUUCUGAAGAAAUCCCAGGGCUGAUCUCCUUUAGAAUGGACUGGUUGGAUCUCCUUGCAGUCCAAGGGACUCUCAAGAGUCUUCUCCAACACCACAGUUCAAAAGCAUCAGUCCUGGUAAUAUAUGUAUAUGGCAAUGGUAUCUUGCUUUACCUAUGGGUAGGGGGAUCCUGGUGUUGUCAGAGCAAUAAACCUAAUGUGGCACUUCCAGAUGAGAAGAGGGCUGUCUCCUCUCCUGGACUGACCAAUAGUAGGUUUCUGUGUACCUGGAAUUGCCUUGGGCUUCUGCAGGGAGGUUAGAUCAUGUUCCCAUUCUUCUAAACAUAAAAUUAAUAAUUUAUAUUGAUUCUUCACCAGAAACUGUUCUGAGUGUUAUUCACCUGGCAUUCUAUCUGUUUUAAGAUACAGUCUUUUCUUUUUACAUUUUAACUUUGUUUAAAUAGUGAUAUUAUGUCAUUACUGCUGGCCAAGCAGAGGUCAUGAUGUAACUAUCAUGGUCCAUGCACCUCCAUCAAUAGUUAAAAAGGUUUUCAGUGUCAUGGAAAAAAAUAUCAGAGACAAUAGAAGCACCUUUAAACAUGUUGCAUUACCAGUGGUCUUACCAGAAACAGAUGUGAUAUCCACUAUUACCUAGUGGAAAUCUUUUAAAAUUGAAGAUGAAAUAAAAAUAUUUAAAAAUUUUAAAAAUCUACAGGAAUUUAAACCUGGAUUAAAAGAGCACAAAAUGUGUUAUUCAGGCAGAAGAAAAAUGAUUCCAGAGAGAAACAGAAAUUCAGGAAACAAUAAAGAUCACAGAAAAGAGUAAAGAUGUGGAUAAGCCCCAAAGAGAAUUUACAGUUAUGACAAUGUCUUCUGAGGUAUAAGUAUUCAACUAAAAUAUAUAGCAAUAAUUGCCAAAAAGAUAGAAGUUGUCUUAGUUUGGGCUGUUGUAACAAAAUACCAUACACAUAAACAAUGGGUAUUUAUAUCCUUGCAAUUUUGGAAGCUGGAAGUCUGAGAUCAUGGUGCCAGUCAAAUUAGAUUCUUGGUGAGAACUAUUCCUGGCAUUUGUGAGACUGUCUUCUUGCUGUGUCUUCACACUGGGGUGGGGGUGGGGGCAAAGCAAGCAGGCUCUCUGGUCUCUUCCGUUAAGAAGAGUGACCCCAUUGUGGGGACCCCAUCCUCAUUACCUCAUCUAAACCUAAUUACUUCUUAAAGGCCCCACCUCCUAAUACCAUCACACUGGGGGUUUGAGUUUCAACACAUGAAUUUGGGGGGAAACAAACUUUCAGUCCCUAGCAGAAGUUAAACGAAGUUCAAGUGUUACUGAGAAUUUGAAUUAUUUGGGGUGUGGUAAAGUGCAAAUUUACUUGCAUUAUCCUCUAAUGCAAGUAACGCAAUGGCACCCCACUCCAGUACUCUUGCCUGGAAAAUCCCAUGGAUGGAGGAGCCUGGUGGGCUGCAGUCCAUGGGAUCGCUAAGGGUUGGACACGACUGAGAGACUUCACUUUCACUUUUCACUUUCAUGCAUUGGAGGAGAAAAUGGCAACCCACUCCAGUGUUCUUGCCUGGAGAAUCACAGGGAUGGGGGAGCCUGAUGGGCUGCUGUCUAUGGGGUUGCACAGAGUCGGACACGACUGAAGUGACUUAGCAGCAUGUGCUAAGAAGUCACAAAUAUAUUUUAAAAUAUCUUAGUGUACUGGUUAAUGAAGAAUGGGCUUUUUUAAAAAAAGGUUUGUUAAUCUCAAAGAAAUUAACAGAGGAGAAAUAAGAUGGAAUAGGUAAAAAC